AUAUAUACAUGCAUUAAUAAUUCUAGAAAAUUGCUUUCUUUGUUAUAACAUAUGUGAGUACUAGUUUUCAUGUUUACAUCAAUCUUCUCACAUAUACCUAGUGUAGGGUGUGUAGUCAGAAAAAUCUAAGUGAAAAUUGAGUGCUUAUCUAGUAAGGAAUUUAGGGAAUUCUCUAAGGCAUGUUACUACAUUCAAAAUGUUGUUUUAAUUGAUUAAAUGUGAGCUAGUGAAUGGUGACUAUGAUUAAGUAUGCUCGAGGGUAAGGAUUGCUCAAAUUCAUGUGAGUAGUGAUCUUUGGCAUGUCAUGUUUCAUUGGAAAUCCCUGAGGCAAAUGUUGGAAGGUCUAGGUUCUGUUUUGUUUGUUUUGUUUGUUUUGUUUUGCUCGAGGACUAGCAAAAGCUAAGUGUGGGGGAAUUUGAUAAGAGCAUAUUUAUGCGACUUAGUUAGCUUGUUUCUUAGCAUUUAUGUUGUUAGUUCCUAGUUGUUUUAUUAUUUUAAGCUAUUUUCGUGUGUUU
rnacentral:lncRNA from 1 species